rnacentral:lncRNA from 1 species
AAUUUCUAAAAAUAUCAGCCUUAUACUAACUCACUGUGUACCAUCACUUACAUUUUAUAGAUCAAUUUAAUAUACUCUAGUCUCUUUCUAAAAUUUUUCUACUAUUAAUCAUACCUUUCCACCUUAAAAUUCCGUUAAUAUUUUCUUUGGUUUACUUUGACCUAUUUAUUAUUAAAAAAAGAAUUUUAAAUAUCAGACAAUAUUCUAUGAAUAUAAAAUUUAUUGCAGUUACCAUAACUCCGAAAUAAUAAAUGUCAAAAUCAAAAUUAAGUCAAUGUCCCUUACGAUAUGUUAAAAAAAUCUAAAUUAAUACUCUUAUAGUUUUUUCUCCUGAAGAAGUCACAAAAGUGUGACGAAAUAUUGAGAAAUAACAAAUAGACUUUUAUUUCACAUGACCGAAUUGCUGAAACUUCAAACCACUAUAACACAGUACGGUCGAAAAUAUUUGUACAAA